CUUAUGACUGGGGCUUUCCCACGGGGCCUGGCUGGGCCCAGUCCAAAAGAGCGAUGUGGGCCCGCCCUCCUGUGGGUUCACCACCUGCAGAGGGGGCCAUGGGGGUCAGGUGCAGAGAGGACUGGGUGGCGGUCGGG